CGCCCGGGCCCAGUACCCGAGUGCCCCGGUCUCUAGAGGGCUACGGAGCGCGUCUGCCUCCAGGACCGGGUAUUUGACUGAGCAGCCUGCGAAGUAGAGCGCGGAAGGUCCGCAGUGGGUGCGGCGCGGCGCAGUCGGGGCUAGCCCACUUGCUCAGCGUAGCUUUUCUAGAGCGUCGGGGGUCUCGAGGGGCCGGGGUUGGACAGCAGCUGCGCGACUCCGAGGGACUCUUCUCUGCAGAUCCAGGCCCGCACCUAUCUGCAGAUGUUCUUCCAUAGAGCAAUUCUCUGCACUUCUUAGAAACAACUGUUGCUUAUACAACUGUUGCUUAUAGCAGAAGACAGCCUUUAUCUCUUCCAGUGAUCCACAGACUUGAUGAAAUCAGUUCGGGCCUCAGAGAGAAGAUGAAUUGUAAGCAAAAUUCAAAAAUCACGAUUCUGGGGAAAAAGACCCCCAAAUCCAGAGCCCUGUAGUACCAGCCCUGCUAGUUCAACUGAAGGCUGCAGCAUGCCCUGAUCUAAACGGGAAAACACAACAAGGAAAAUAUCAGAAGCACAAGCCAGAGCUGUUGUCCUCCUUACUCAUCCACUCAUCCAUCAAGAUAAGUCAGAGAUCAAAAGGAAUUCCCUCUCCAUCCUCCAAGAAAGACACUUGAGGAGACAAUUAGUAACAUGGUGAGAGGAGCUGGAUCUCAAGUCCCCAAAGCACAAAGUAAGAAGCAGCCAGCUCUGCCAAGAGACAGGAAAAAACCCUGACUGGACCUUCAGAGACAGAUCAGGAGGAUCAAGGAAACUCCAAUCGAGCACAUCACAUGGGUAAAGUCUUCAGACUCUAUGCCUGGUCUGCAGGACAGUGGGCUAGCAAUUCAUAACGGUUGGAGCCUGGGUCAGGAGGGAGAGGAGCCCGUGUGGCUUGGGGAGGUGGCUGUCAAACAACCUGCUGAGGGACUUGAGCUUCAUUCUGGAAGACACAGGAAGAUGUGGCAGGGUUUUGAGAAGGGGUGUGGCUUUGCAAAGACUUCUUUGGCAGGAAGGAAAGUGUGCUAGGUUUCCACAGCAGCCAGCUUAUCAACGUUCCUCCAGCCCUGCUGAAUUCAGAAUCUCAGGACAUCUGUUCCUCCCGCCACCUUCCUGAUGGCCUACUCGUUUUAUUUUGAAGCACAUACAGUAUCUCUUCGUUUCCAGCAUCGUCCCCAUUAUCCACUACUUCCUCCCAACCGCGCUUUCUAAACUGCUGAGGAUGGAAGAGAAAGCAGACUGGACUUGCAGUAUACAUUUCACACUCUCAUCCAACAAGCAACUUAGCCGCUGACACACUGCCAGCUGGUCCCAUCAAGUCAGGUGGCAUGGGUCACCCAACAAGCUGCCUGUUGGAAUAGCUGGCUGUUACAUAGCCUGUUAAGAACCAGGCGAACAAGACCACCAAAAUGUGGCAGCUGCUGUCCAGACAAGACACCUUCAGGCAGAGCUGGGUGCAGCCCGGUGACUCGUGCAGACAACAUCUGGGUUUUAGUUGGAAGACGGCCUCUGCAUUGGAUGAAGCUCUUCCCACAGAAUGGCCUCUUCUCUGGUCUGGAAUCUGCUAGGACUCCAUCUUCCCACACUGGGUCCAUGCAUGGUGUCCAGAAGAUCAAAUCCUAUAUGUUGGAGUGUAUGCGUUCUGGAUAAGUUACGGAAAAGGCACAAGGAGGCAGAGGGACCCGAGGUCCCAGGACCUCAGACACAAGAACUGAUUUCUUAGCAGUGUAGCUGGUCUGUUUCAACAUAGGUAUCAGUUUUGGUGUUCUGUUUUCUCACAGCACCCCCACCAGUAAUGAAAGACUGGGCUAUUGUAGGGAACUCACACUGUGAUUGUGGAAGAGGGCUAUCCCACAGCCUCUGUGAACAUCAAGAAGACAAGGUUCUCUCAGGAACUUCUUUUGAGGGUCAGUGAGACAUUGGGGAAAUAUAAAAUACCGGACAAUGCUUCCUUCUCACCACAAUACAUUUCUGGAAGCCACAUGGAAAAUCCUAAAAUUGAUCUUCCCCGUGGGAUCUGUGUUAUAAUUGGACACUGCAUUCUUGACCAGAGACUUGGCAUCAGAUAAAUCACAGAUACUAAAUAUGUCACAGAGACAAGGACUCACAGUUUAAGGCAGUUGAGUUCUUAAACUCAGCUGAGCAUCAGAAUUGUCAAAGGAGAUUGAAUAAGAAAUACUGAUGCCUAGGUCCCAUCUGGAACCAGAUGAAGCCAGAUUUCCAUGGGUGGGUCCAGGUAACCAUUUAAAAAAAUAAUUUAGAGCUUUGUAUUUUGACUUAUCAAGAACCAAGAACAAAUAUAGGGAAAAAGUGUCAUCGGCACUUAAAAUAUUAGAAGGAGCCACACGGGAAAACAUGACAAGGGAGGAGGAAACUGCUGUCGUCACAUUUACUGUUAAAAACUGCAGCAAAUAAGAACAGUUUGGAUGAGAGAAGAAAAGGACAAGUCAAUUUUGAUUCUCUAAGGAGAAAGUCAGACCACCCCACCCCAUUUGAACAGUGAACCAUUGCUUUCUGUAUCCACGGUCCAAGGCUGACCUUGUCAGGGUACCAAUUCCUAAAGCUGGUGAGUGGCUAUUGUAUGUUCUCGUAAGUCUUCGUACCUAGGCCUUGUCAAGGAGUCUGGAAAAGAACAGGGACAGACCCUGUCCUUGAGGAGUCUCAAGAAGAGAGGAGCAUGGCAUUACCGAGUUAGGCACCUAGUCGUCUGGAAGCGUGGGAAUCCUGCAUUGCCACAGCAAUUGUAUCUGAAAUCGUCCUAGCCAGACAAACCAAGGCGACCAUCUCAGGGCUCUUCCCUUCCCCUGACUAAAGCCUAGAGGGUGUCACAAGCGAGCCCAGUCUCUGCCUUCCUGGAGGUACAGUCAGGGCAAAGAGGAAGUCCUUCCAGAGGUUGAGUGUCCACCCAGGCUGUCUCUGCCAGGGCAUGGAGUGUGGGCUGGGAGAUCGUCACAGAUCUGCACAGUCAGGGCAGGAGCACGGUUUCUCUUUCAGAUUCCAGCUCUUGGAAUGAACUCUGUGAUUACAGGCAGAGCGUUUUCACAAUGCCCCAACGCCUCAGUAAUUUCCCUUUAAAACAGAAGGGCAAAAUCGAUCCCCCACCUACUCAAAAGAUAUGUGAAAUAUGAUUUUUUCCCAUAAAACUAUCUCAGCAUCCUUAUUAACAUUUUUGAACUUUAAGGGUCAUAUGUAUUGACCAGAAUUCAGAAAUGCUGGAGGAACUGUUAAAAAAGAGAAGAAAUAAAAUUCACCUGUAAUUAUACCCAGAAGCCCAUAAUCAUUUUAAAUAUAAUGAAACGCAAUGAAAAAUGUUCUCUAUCUUUAGUUUUCUAGGCUUUUAAAAAUAGAAGAGCUUAAUAGUGAACAUUUCUGAAUGUUAUCAUAAAAUAUGGCUUAAAACGUACAGACUUGUGGGUCCAGACUACUCAUUUUUUUUUUACAUCAUAGUUUAUAUGUUUGUUAUAAGGGAUAUAAUAUGAAUUUUUUAAAAUGCAGAAGAGGAAAUAAUGCAAGGCAGUUUUUAAAAAACGUACUUUUAUUUACAACAAUACCCUUGGAGUUUUUGUUUCCUUGGGAGGGGUUAAGAAAAGAUCCCUCCAUAUAGCCCAUGCUGGCCUGGAACUCAUUCUGUAUACUAGGCUAGCCUUGGACUUGUGGGAAAUCUGUUUCUUUGUGGUUGUUGUGUUGUUUUCUUUUUUUAUGCAGACAAAAGUUGGAAACAAAGUCAGAAACAGAAAAUGAGAUUUAAAAAAAAACAAAACAAACCCAAGGCAAUCUUCUUUUGAAAGGUCAGUUCAUUUACUUACAGGGAAGCAGAGAUCUUGCAGCAAUUGCUGUAACUACAUUCCCAUUGACUUCCUGGUGGUGAUUUUUAUCUUUAACACCCCCUACUGGUUUGCCUGAUGGUUUUAGGGUUAUUGUUUCCCUCCCCCUACCCCUUAAAAGUUCUUUUCAAAAACUUUUAUUAGUUGUCUGUCACCUUUCUACUCCCUGGUUUCUUAAUUCUCCUUGGAAAAAAAAAAAAAAAAGCUAGAACCUGAUCUAAUGGCACAAGUCUAUAGUCCUAGCACCCCAGAGGCUGAAGCAGGAGGAUAUUGAGGUCAGCUUGGGCUACAUGAUAACUUGAAGACCCUGUCAAUAAUGAUUAUUAUAAUGAUAAUGAUAGUUGAGAGGUAUCAGUAACAAGAACAAAACACUUGCAUGUCUCUUCGUAUAAAUCCCUUCCCCACAGCCCUCCCUCCACAUGCAAUAAACAGACCUUUACGGAGCUUCAUAAUCUGCUGCAUGACUCAUGCAUGCAUCCAAGGUCACCAUGGGCCUUACAUCUCUGCAUACUUAGGGGUAGUUAUCUAAACACAAAUCAGGAACGUGUGGAUUCACAGGGUGUUAAAGCAGGGCAGGGACGCCUUAUGAAUAAAGUUCCAGGAAGAUGGGCUGAGGUAGACCUUAACCUAGAGGUUGUUUCUUUCACCCAAGUGUUUGAUAGCAGGCUCCAACUGUGACUUUAAUUCCUUCAUGGAGGUCACUAUUUGAGGAGAAGAAGCAGGAAACUGCUGUGUGGUGCUUAAUUCUUAGCUGUCAGGCUGGUAGGUUUUAGAAUCACCUACAAGACAAACCUCUGGGCGUGGCUGUAAGGAAGUUUCCAGAGAAGCUUCAUGGAGCCACAACUCAGUGAGCUGGAGACGAUUCGAAAGGAGAAACCAAGCUAAGCACCAGUGUUUGUCUCUCUCUGCUUCAGACUGCAGAUGCCCUGUGGAUGGCUACCUUCCUCUCUGUGAUGGACUGCACCCUUGAGCCAGCCCAAAGAAACACUUCUUUCCCUGAGUCACAUUCACCGGGCAUUUUUUCACAGCAAAGAGGAAAGUGACUAACACAAGUUGUUACCCCAUUUCUGCUAGAUCUGGGCUCCUUUCAUUAGUCAACAUGACAUGGAUUGAACACCCACUCUGCCCUACUACUGAUCUACAAUGAAGGUGCCGGAACAAGGAAGUUAUGGGAACAAGACAGAGUUGGUUCAAAGAGAUGAUCGACAACAGCGCAGACAUGAAUGAGCAGGAUAAUGCAUGAUGACAGCCCAGUGAAGACCAUAAAGCAGAGGAUCCGGGGGCCAAGGAGAAUAUGUCUGCCCUGUGGUCAGGGAGGUCAACUUUUGGGGAAGUAUUUAACAUUGUCCCUGAGGCCUGUGCUUUGAAUCUUCUUGGCCCAUUUCUUAAUAUCAUGGCUCUCAUGACUUGAUCUUAGUGCCUUUCCUCCGCCAUUUCAGCUGUAGGACCCCAGGAAGGCUUCUCAGAGCCUCCCACAGCAAGCCAUAUGCUAUCCUACUACUUAUAAACCCACACUCUAUAAUGGUCCUUCACUCUGGCACCUCAUUAUAGAAAGUAGGAUGAAGUUGGCACCGAGAAUGAUUCCUAUUUGCUUCAGCCACAGUAAUCUCUUCAUUUUCUAAGACUUCAGUUAUGUGUGUUCAAUCAUCAUGGGAAAAUAUUGAAAAGAAAAUUAUUAGAAAUAAGCAGUUUAUUAAUUUAAGUGACUUUUAUUAUAGCAUUUUGUUAUAUGGCUCUACUUUGUUAUUAGUUGUUGGUAAUCAUUUACUAUGCUUUAUAAAUUAUUUGUCAAUAUUAAUAUUUGUUUAUAGGAGAAAAGAGUGCAUAUAGGAUUUGAUGCUAUCUGGGUUUCAAGCAUUCACUGGGGGUCUGGGAAUGGAUCCUCUGAGAUAAAAGGGGCAUGUCUCUUUUAAUACGCAUAAGGUUUACACUGCAGUACUGCUAAGUUCACUUUACUAUUUGGGACUCUGCUGAAAUUAUCUCUUUGCAGAGGAAGAGUAUCUCACCACCCACAUCAGCUUCCUCCUUCACCCAGAACAGAUUCCCAGAAAAUAAAAGUUCCUAAGACUGUUCUAGAAAGUUCAGAGACACAGAUGAGAACUUUGCUCUUUAAUCAUGCUUCAGGAAUGCAGGUGUUAUCUGUACACACUAUUAUCAAUUGUCUUUGAGAUCGCUGGCUAGAGUAAGCUUGGUCAUGAUUUCUAAUCAUUAGAGAUAGGUUGGGAGUUUUCAAUUCAUUUAUUCUCUUUAUUGUAGCUAAUUGAAGAAUACGUUGCCUUUGGAUUCAAAUAGCCAUUACUGGUUCUCUUUGCCAAGCCCUAUGCAAGACAUAUCUCCUUGGGAUUUUGUGAUGGCUUAGUGCUCUGUGUCAGGGAUAGAGAGGUGAGGCUCAGGUGAAUUAAGGGCUAGCUCAAAGUCAAAUGUAGGGGUAGAAACACGUGCAAGUCUUCUGACCCCAGUACAUGGACUUGCAGGCUGGAGCUCUCCUACCUUUCUUUUUACACACAGUAUUGACUCACAUCUUGAGGAAACUGAGGUUAAAUGUAAUGCGCAAGCAUUCAUCUUUGUAAAGAUUUGUUUCAUUGGGACCACUGGUUACAAGUGAAAGCUACAGUGGAUGUGUCCAUGACAUAGAUUAAACACGAUUACAGAGGAGGUGGUGUAUCCCUCACAUCUUGACUUCUCUUACGUUUAAUAUAACCCUGAAGAGGACACAGAAGUUCAAAUAGAGCAUAUGGCAUUCAUAAGGUUACAUACAUGUAAUCAUACAUGAUACUUUUAUUGUAAAUAAAAAACACUAUUUAUAAUGGCAACAAGUGCAUUAUACAGAUAAAACAUAGGACUGCAGCUUCAUUAUUUAUUAAAGGAAAGAAAAAAAAUCUACACAAGUGAUCGGGGAAACAUAGUCUUACUCUGGUGGCAUUUGUCCCUAGAUUGUCCCUAGAUUGCUUUACAGAUUUCAUCACAAUUCAAAUCAAAAUCAUAGCAGGAAUUUGUGGGAUUGUGAUAAACUCAUUUUGAGUUUUCUAUGAAAGUAAUAAAGGCUUUUGAGUAAUCAACACUGAAAAAGAAAACACAGGAAUGGGAGCACUCGACUAGUAAAUGAGACAUUGUUGAGAAGGUGCAGAACAAACAAAUAAACCGAUGGAGAAUCCCUAAAGCAAGGUCACUUGUGCUGCAGUGCACUGACAGAACUCAACACAGCAGCUGUUCUUCAUCGGAGAGGCUGCGACCAUGUAAAAUCAGGAAAUCUUCAAGAUCAGGCCUGUUGACCACUGAUGCUCCCUUACAGGGGAAAAGGUGGAGAGAACAUGGGGAAGCUUAUUACACCUUCUCUUGAGACUCCAGCUUUUUCUUCCUGAACCUCCCAGCCAGUUGUAUAUAAUUCUGUUCCACCUGCACAUGGUCUCAUAGUCUUGGGAGUAUACAGUCUGUGGCAGGCUAGUGGAAGGGAGUGACUCCAUAUUUGCAGUGGUGGGGAAGUCACCCAUCAUUGACAUUGGGAGUGGUUGUGUGGCUACUUUGGGGUCAUUAAUAUACCUAUAAAUAAUUCUUCACCCAUGCUCUGUAAGUAAAAAUAAAGUUAUUAACUCAC